GGAACUGCUGCUUCCUGCCUGCUCCCACUGUGCCGUGUUCACAACGAUGUAUUACAUCACCUAACCCAGGCUGACCAGAGAAUUCUGUGAACUCUCCACCAGCUGGACAUGGACUUGUGUCCUCCUGGGCUUUGAUGCCUUCAUUGUCUUCUGUGACCUGGUUACUCACCCCCUUCAGAGCCAGUGAGUCAUGUGAAAGAACAUCUCAAUCAUCUUGAAAAACGUGUCUGAUCUGAGCUCCUGUGGUCCUCACUCACGAACGCUCACCAGGAUGCCUGUGAUGCCCUCUGAUUACGGGCAGAUCCUCGGCUGCAGAGAUGACGGACAUGAUCGUGAGGCCUCUGUUCUCUGCACUUAGUUGAGCUUUUCCAAGGAGUGACUACAGAGUGGCUUCUCCUUGGGCACGGUGGCUGCCUGAUGGAUCUGGAAUCAUGUUUGUCUCUGAUGCUGGCUUUAGGGUGGCUUCACUUCUGAGCAGUGGCCUGCCAGCCUCCUGUGUCACAGUCACAUUCCAUUAGUGCUAGAAUGUCCCACUUUCUAUUUCCUGACGGACAUGGCAGUUUCCUUUCUUUGAAUCAAAGGGGCAUUUCCUACAGAAUGCAUUGCAGGACUGUGGACUGGUUCCGAGUUGCUGAAGGCAUUAAUCUGAACUGAUAAACUCUGUCUCUUCUGGCCCUCAUUCCAUAGAAGUCUUAUUUUUCCAAAUAAGCCCAGAGAUACAGACAACCUAACUCAGUCCCUGUUUCCCUGUCAAGGAAUGAAGAAGCCAUCUUGGUAGACUGUCUUUCCUUUGAAACAUUGUACAAAAGAUGUAGACUUUCAGCUGGGACCAGGGAUGAGCAUCCUCUAGAUCCAGGCAUGAAGUCAGGCAUCUGGACACACAUCUGUCUCUGAUGGAUGCCCAGGUGGACUUCUUCCUGGCACCCUCCUGGGCAUUUUUCCCAAAAGAGUGAUCGAUCUCUUCUUGAUUCAGGAUUUAAAUGUGCUUCAGUGUUCUAAAUAAAUGCUACUUUGUUUUCUAUGGCUGCUAUUUUGGUAGAUCUUUUUAUGCUGCUCUAAUAUUUUAAAUAAAAAAGGGACAGAUUUUUAAAAGUUUUGCACAAAUGCAAAAUGCUUUUUUAAGCAGUAAUUAGUCUAGUAUGGCUCUUAUAAUGUGCAAUGCAAGAAUGGUGAUGUGUUUAUUUAGGACUAUUUAAGAUAGCUUAUGGGGCUUCCCUGACAGCUCAGUUGGUAAAGAAUCCGCAUGUAAAUGAUUUUAUACAACAUGGAAAAAUAUGUAAAAUCUAAGUAAAAAGAUAUCUUUACUCUAAAAUAAAAGGCUCAUAUAUUAAUCAUAUUGAACCUUAUUAGAAGAUACCUACCAGAGUUGGUGAUAUAAGCUCAUGACCCUCAAAUGCAGAGUUGUAAUGCACCACUAAAUUAAUAUACUGGUACAUUCUGCAGGCAGAGACAUUAAAUUUUUAACAGUGCGAUUGACUGCAUGUAGUUCCACCUUCAAACAUGACGCUUGUGAAAAAUUGCAAAAGCCAUGCUCCUGGUAUGUGAUAUAUGUUACUGGUUUCUAAAAUACUAAGAGAAAAAGAUCUACUUUCUGUUCUGAUUUAGCCAAAACCCAGUCUGCAAAGAGAUUUACACAGUCUCAGCAACAGUCAGGAGAUCACUGCAGGAAACAAAACACUACACUGUCUUCUGAGUUUCUCCCGUACAGCUAAUUCAUGACAUUUGGAGUUAAAGAGAUAAUAUAAUUACAGUGGGGGAAAAACUGUCCCUUAAAGCCUUUUUUGAAAAAGAGUAUAGUAAAUUUCUGUUGUGUUGAUUUGAUUGCCAUUUUAGGAUACCUGAAAUAUCUCUCUGUACACCUGUGAUUUUUUUUUUUAAACAUUUUAAAAAUAUAUGACAAAGGCCAGUUACUGUCAUCUACAUAGACAUU